rnacentral:rRNA from 1 species
AUUGAACGCUGGCGGCAGGCCUAACACAUGCAAGUCGAGCGGAUGACGGGAGCUUGCUCCUUGAUUCAGCGGCGGACGGGUGAGUAAUGCCUAGGAAUCUGCCUGGUAGUGGGGGACAACGUUUCGAAAGGAACGCUAAUACCGCAUACGUCCUACGGGAGAAAGCAGGGGACCUUCGGGCCUUGCGCUAUCAGAUGAGCCUAGGUCGGAUUAGCUAGUAGGUGAGGUAAUGGCUCAUCUAGGCGACGAUCCGUAACUGGUCUGAGAGGAUGAUCAGUCACACUGGAACUGAGAAACGGUCCAGACGCCUACGGGAGGCAGCAGUGGGGAAUAUUGGACAAUGGGCGAAAGCCUGAUCCAGCCAUGCCGCGUGUGUGAAGAAGGUCUUCGGAUUGUAAAGCACUUUAAGUUGGGAGGAAGGGCAGUAAGUUAAUACCUUGCUGUUUUGACGUUACCGACAGAAUAAGCACCGGCUAACUCUGUGCCAGCCGCCGCCGUAAUAC